CCAGCUCUCCGAGUUGUAGGGAUGAUUAUUGGGCUUAAAGCGUCCGUAGCCGGCUUAGCAAGUCCUCCGUUAAAUUCAACGACCUAAUCGUUGAGCUGCGGGGGAUACUACUAGGCUAGGAGGCGGGAGAGGCCGACGGUAUUCCCGGAGUAGGGGUGAAAUCCUAUAAUCCCGGGAGGACCACCAGUGGCGAAGG
rnacentral:rRNA from 1 species